rnacentral:rRNA from 1 species
GAUGAACGCUAGCGGCAGGCAUAAUACAUGCAAGUUGAACGCUGAGGACAGCAGCAAUGUUAUCCUUGGAGUGGCGCACGGGUGCGUAACACGUAUGCAAUCUGCCCCUAACAGGGGAAUAGCCCGGCGAAAGUCGGAGUAAUACCCCAUAACAAUGCGAACCGGCAUCGGUUUGUUUUUAAAGCUCCGGCGGUUAGGGAUGAGCAUGCGCGACAUUAGCUAGAUGGCGGGGUAACGGCCCACCAUGGCUACGAUGUCUAGGGGGUCUGAGGGGAUUUUCCCCCACACUGGUACUGAGACACGGACCAGACUCCUACGGGAGGCAGCAGUAGGGAAUAUUGGGCAAUGGACGCAAGUCUGACCCAGCCAUGCCGCGUGUCUGAAGAAGGCCUUCGGGUUGUAAAGGACUUUUGUCCGGGAGCAAAUACCCAGUGCUAAUAACGCUGGGGGCUGAGAGUACCGGAAGAAUAAGCACCGGCUAACUACGUGCCAGCCGCCGCAGUAA